GCCUGGAUGGCGGAAUCGGCAGACGCAACGGACUCAAAAUCCGUCGAACGCAAGUUCAUGAGGGUUCGACCCCCUCUCCAGGUA
rnacentral:tRNA from 1 species